rnacentral:lncRNA from 1 species
AGGCAAACUGUGCAAUUAGUUUUUGUUUUUAUUUAUAUUUAAUCCUCCAUGCAUGUGUCACAAGAUUCGAUGUGAUGGAAAAUCUUGAAAAGUAUUUGGUUUUGGGCGGUAAUGGUCAUAUUGGAUAUUUUAUGAAAUGUUGGAAGAAGUAUUUGGAACUAAUAAUUAUAUAACUUGUUUGGAAAUGGUGAGACGAAUUUAUUAAGCCUAAUUAAUCUAGUAUUGGCACAUGUAUUUUACUAUAGCAUUU